CCCAUCUUAGGAUCACAUCUGAAGAGUUUCCAGUACUCUGCCAGUCUCAGCUACGGGAGGUAGAGUCAAGCAGAGGCAUAGCCAUUCCAUUCCUAGUUUAGACAGGGGCUAGCGAGUGGAAGGCAAUCUGCUACAAAU